GGAUGAUAGAUUACAUUUGUUUAGUGUAGUGUUUACUUUUGCAGCUGUUGUGUUUAUAGAACAAAAAUUAUUAAAAUUAGUGAAUAGUGAAGUGAAUAUCUAUAUUUUUAAGACGACUCCCAUGCCUGGAACUUGCAAAUCGCACCUUUUAGCACAUCAACACCGGGACCUAAGGCUUUUCGUUUCGAGGAAGGCGUGAUCAAACAUUUUCCGUUCUAACUCAUGCUAAUAGGGCCGAUCAGAAUCCCGGCAUACUAUCAACAUAGUAUGGUAUAACACUGAAUCAACAAUUUGACGCCAAAUACACGGUUCGAGGCCGCAUCUCUCCAUCCUCGAAUGCACCCACGCUCGCCAAGUCGUUUUGCACCUGGUCUGCACACCUUGCUCGCUGUGCUCGACGCCGUCUAGUGCCUGACAGAUAGGAAGCAAACACCAUCCUUUCUAAACAACUUAAC